GACGAACGCUGGCGGCGUGCUUAACACAUGCAAGUCGAACGGAAAGGCCCUGCUUUUGUGGGGGGCUCGAGUGGCAAACGGGGAAGUAACAGGUAAUUAACCUCCCCUGGACUUUGGGAUAACUUCAGGAAACUGGGGCUAAUACCGGAUAGGAGCUCCGGCUGCAUGGUGGGGGUGGGAAAGUUUCGGCGGUUGGGGAUGGACUCGCGGCUUAUCAGCUUGUUGGUGGGGUAGUGGCUUACCAAGGCUUUGACGGGUAGCCGGCCUGAGAGGGUGACCGGCCACAUUGGGACUGAGAUACGGCCCAGACUCCUACGGGAGGCAGCAGUGGGGAAUAUUGCACAAUGGGCGGAAGCCUGAUGCAGCAACGCCGCGUGCGGGAUGACGGCCUUCGGGUUGUAAACCGCUUUCGCCUGUGACGAAGCGUGAGUGACGGUAAUGGGUAAAGAAGCACCGGCUAACUACGUG
rnacentral:rRNA from 1 species